UACGUAGGGGGCAAGCGUUGUCCGGAAUCAUUGGGCGUAAAGAGCGUGUAGGCGGCCCGAUAAGUCCGCUGUGAAAGUCCAGGCUCAACCCUGGGAUGCCGGUGGAUACUGUCGGGCUCGAGUCCGGAAGAGGAGUGUGGAAUUCCGUGGUGUAGCGGUGAAAUGCGCAGAUAUCAGGAGGAACACCGAUUGCGAAGGCAGCUCGCUGGAACGUUACUGACGCUGAGACGCGAAAGCGUGGGGAGCAAACAGG
rnacentral:rRNA from 1 species